CUUUAUUUCCCAUUUCUCCUUCUCCUUCUCCUAUGGAAAUAAAGGAAAGUUGCAUCUUUUUCCCUUCUCUUCUUUUUUCAAGUAUAAGAACUCUCUUGUUAUUCUUCUUUCUCUCUCUAAUAAGCAAGAAAGGCAGCAGUUGCUAUCCUCUCCCGACUACAAGAGCAGCAGCUCUCCUCUUUGCUUCUUUCAUUAUUUUUCUAACCAGUCAUAGCCGCCAAGCCCAACCAGAGCUAGCCGAGGAAAGCAUCUCUCUUAGGAUUCAAGCAAUCAUGAUAUUCCCCUUUGUCCAAAUAACCACUCCAACUUUAGAAGGAAAUGCAAUGAGGUGGACUUACCCAUGGUCAAGGUUGGGGCAGUAGUCAUGCUCAUAGUCGCAGAUAUGGUUACAAUGGUGGUAGUGGCUGAGGUAGUGGUCGUGCAUAUCGACGCGCCUCUACUUCUCAUAGGAUUGAUCAUGGUUUGGAUGAGGCACCUCUCUCCCCAUCUGAGAUAAUACCAAAAGCUUAAGUUGGUAUUAGUGUUAGAGCUGGUGGUCACCUAGAGGAUAACCUCAUCUUUUUGAAGCUCAUGUAGUGAGACCGGUAUUUCCCACAACAUCCAUUAUCAUGGAAAAGGCUUGUAUUCUUUUGCUUGCUAGUUCAACAAAGAAAUGUUUGUUAGUAUUAGCCCUAGUACCAAUUAUGAGAUGAUUGUAAAGGGGCACAUUAUUAUAUCAUAUUUCAUUAUAAAUAA